ACGGGGGGAGCAAGCGUUAAUCGGAAUUACUGGGCGUAAAGCGUGCGUAGACGGUCAUGUAAGUCGGGUGUGAAAGCCCCGGGCUCAACCUGGGAAUUGCAUUCGAGACUGCAUAGCUAGGGUGCGGAAGAGGGAAGCGGAAUUUCCGGUGUAGCGGCGAAAUGCGUAGAUAUCGGAAGGAACAUCAGUGGCGAAAGCGGCUUCCUGGUCCAGCACCGACGUUCAGGCACGAAAGCGUGGGGAGCAAACAGGA
rnacentral:rRNA from 1 species